UACGUAGGGUGCGAGCGUUAAUCGGAAUUACUGGGCGUAAAGCGUGCGGCAGGCGGUGAUGUAAGACAGGUGUGAAAUCCCCGGGCUUAACCUGGGAACUGCAUUUGUGACUGCAUCGCUGGAGUGCGGCAGAGGGGGAUGGAAUUCCGCGUGUAGCAGUGAAAUGCGUAGAUAUGCGGAGGAACACCGAUGGCGAAGGCAAUCCCCUGGGCCUGCACUGACGCUCAUGCACGAAAGCGUGGGGAGCAAACAGG
rnacentral:rRNA from 1 species